GACGUAGGGCGCGAGCGUUGUCCGGAUUUAUUGGGCGUAAAGAGCUCGUAGGUGGUUCGGUAAGUCGGGUGUUAAACCCCCAGGCUCAACCUGGGGACGCCACUCGAUACUGCUGUGACUAGAGUCCGGUAGGGGAGCGUGGAAUUCCUGGUGUAGCGGUGAAAUGCGCAGAUAUCAGGAGGAACACCAGCGGCGAAGGCGGCGCUCUGGGCCGGUACUGACACUGAGGAGCGAAAGCGUGGGUAGCAAACAGG
rnacentral:rRNA from 1 species